rnacentral:rRNA from 1 species
CCUACNGGUUGCAGCAGUAGGGAAUCUUCCGCAAUGGACGAAAGUCUGACGGAGCAACGCCGCGUGAGUGAUGAAGGCUUUCGGGUCGUAAAACUCUGUUGUUAGGGANGAACAAGCGCUANUUGAAUAAGCUGGCACCUUGACGGUACCUAGCCAGAAAGCCACGGCUAACUACGUGCCAGCAGCCGCGGUAAUACGUAGGUGGCAAGCGUUAUCCGGAAUUAUUGGGCGUAAAGCGCGCGCAGGUGGUUUCUUAAGUCUGAUGUGAAAGCCCACGGCUCAACCGUGGAGGGUCAUUGGAAACUGGGAGACUUGAGUGCAGAAGAGGAAAGUGGAAUUCCAUGUGUAGCGGUGAAAUGCGUAGAGAUAUGGAGGAACACCAGUGGCGAAGGCGACUUUCUGGUCUGUAACUGACACUGAGGCGCGAAAGCGUGGGGAGCAGACAGGAUUAGAUACCCGCGUAGUC